UGAAAAUAUAACUCCUGCAAACAGAUCACUUUCUCCUUCCCCAUGAGAAAGAGGGAUCCAUAAAUCUUUUAUUUCAUUUGUUUCCUCUACCAAGAUUAUUCAUCCCUAAAAGCUUCAACAAUUGAAGGAUUUAAUAAAACUGGAAAAAAAACUUCCUUUAAUACAUUUUUGCUUUUCAAGAUGAACUACAAUAUAUUUAUGUAGGAAGAUCUGCAGAAAUACAACUGAAUGUAGAGGAUGAUGAAGAGGAAACAGUCUGUUUUUUUUCUCAAAUGGAAACCGAUGGGAAAACAAAAAGCUACUAAUAUAAUAUUUUUCAAAAAUACAUUUCUGGUAACAAAGGCAAGACAAUCAAGGUGUGGGACUCAGUUGUCCAUACAGAAAUGUUAGAGUUGUUUUAAACGUGCAUGGUACCUAUUUGGUUGCCUCCAUCUGCUCCUCCAUAGGUAGCUCAGAGGCUUUCUAACAUGUCUGCCAAUAUCUGACACUGGCAUCUAAAGAGUUGAUCAAGGACU